UAAUUCUGCUCUGACACUCUGAAGAGACUGCUAAUUACUGUGCGCGGUCCCCAGACAGAUCCCCCGUCAGACUGGAAGGGCUGCGCUCGGCAGCGAGCAGCAGCAGCACCUUUGUGCACGGGAAGGGAUGCGCUCUCGCACCACGGCUUUUUACAAGACAGGCUCCACGACAAAGCAUCUCCUGUCCAAUAAGCCCUGCAGAACAAACACCGAGGAAGGCAAAAAUCCAGCGUAAUGGCAGCGAAGGAGACAACCACUAACUUCACCGUGUCGACUACUGAAGAAUUUGCAUCUACAAAAUGAAAAGGACAUGAGAACCAUGCACCCCUAAGAUGCUGCACUUCAGGUAUCAAGAGAAAAGAAGAGCUUUGCACUGCACUAAGUACUUCUCAGAGGAAGCAGAACUGAGACUUAAAUCAUCAUCAGAUCUAUUUAUACUUCUGAAUCAAUGAAUACUGACACAAAUAGAGGCACAGACAUGCACCAACCUCCCUUUUCCAAGAAACUAUGUGGAAAAACUCUCAAACCCCACUUUCUAGAUGGUGACUUUUUUGGUCUCUCAGAAAUUUGGGUUAUGUGGCAGACGGGACAGAUAGUGUGAAAACUGCCAUAAAUCCAACACAUGCACAUGCUUUUGAGAAAAAGAAACUUUAAUCACCAGAAACACAACUGGUCUAAUUAGUCCAAAAUCUAAAGGAUGCCACAACAGUAAAGUGAGAAGGUAACUGUAUAGAGAAGCACAUAUAAGAUAAUUUGGGGAAAAAAAAAAAUCCUCCCAGAAUCCACACUAAACCCUUACUUCUAUGCUUUUAACUGUAAAAUUUAUUUGUUUGGGUUGGUAACAGUAAUAUUUACUUGUCUGGAUUGGUAACAUUUGCUAUUAAUGCUAAUCUUUUAGAGCAAUAUGGACACAUUUAAUUUCUAUAAAUACAACUAUCAAACUAUUUUUUUCUGGAAUUAUUUUUAUUAAUCAUAAGUAACAGGCUAAUAUUCUGAAGAAAAAACUUAAUUUUUCUACUCUUUACAUAAGCUUGCCUAGAAAUACAAGCUAUUUGGAGAAGCCAAAACAUCACAAGUUUACUGUUCUUAUGCUAAUUAAGGUUCCCUGAUAAUCAAUUAUUUUAAUUAAACAGGACUCGUUUGACAUUUCUGUGAAUGAAAUGAAAAAAAAAAAAAAGCAAAGCUUGUUUAAAAAAGAAAAAAAACCCAAAGUAUUUGAGAUAUAAAAAUACCAAAAGAAGUAAUUUUCUUUUUCCCGUCAUGAUUCUACUAGACACACUUCAGACAGUUUGCUGAAUCUAGAAAGAGAAGUCAUGCCUUAAAUUACAGGUGCUUUAUAUUAAAUGAUGUGGAAUCAUAUAUCUAGCUUCCUAAAUUCCCCUGAACCUUAAUAUUCGGCUGAAAGCCUAUGUGUGAUUCACAUUUGAAGAAAAUUGACUAAACUGAAAUAAAUAAAACCAGCACUAAAGCAUGUAGGGGAUUAUGUCUCAGCUACAUCAUCAUAGAUAUUGUCUUAGCAAAGAUUUCUAAAGCUUCAAAGCCAAUUUCAAACUUGUAGUAAAAAUCAAUUUGCAGAUUUCAAAUAUUAACGAUGGAUGCACACAAUUGUGCAUCUUUCAUGUUUUUAGAAGUAACCUAGAGUAAGAUUUUUAGAAGAGUCUAUAAACUUCAGCUGUACAAAGUACUACAAAUCUUAAUGGGAUCUUGUUACUGAAGCCACAUAGGAUCUUUUAAAAAAAUCCUAAAGACAGUAGUGGAAAAAAAGUAUUAUUAAAAACUACUAACAUCUGUAUGUUGAAAUUCUACAAACAGAUUGCUUUUAAAUGCUGUAAAAUAUAUCAAAUAUAAAGCAUGACAUAAUAAGAAUAAAUUGUGUUAUUUGUCAGC